UUUAUUUUAUUCUUAUAAAGUGAUCUGAUCAUUUUCAAUUUGUUAAAUCUUAAGAAGAAAAAAAAUAUGGCUCGAAUCCUAAGUUCAUUUUAUGCUUUGAUCAUGUUUGUUUUCUUAAUUCUAGCUAGCGCUGAAGAACGUAUUCCCUGCCUCUGGAGCCUUGAGUGUCCAAAAGAUAUGUGUCCCAUUAAAUAUAUUCCAAAGUGCAUUAAUCUCUCUUGUCAAUGCCAUUUUGAUAAGGAAGAUAAGGAUUGGGAUUAAAAAUAUGUUAUUUCUAAGGAGAAAUUACACUCAUCAAUUGAUAUCUAUUAAAUUGGCAAUAACAUCUCCCACAAAUUUUAAAAUAUGCAGCGAUUUCCUUUGAAAUCUACUAAAAUGAUACGAAAAUAUUUCUUUUUUGUUUUUAGUGAUAAUAAAAAAUCGUAAGUAUAGAUGCCUUUAACCUACGACUUUAUUUAUCACUAAAAAUUCUCAUUAGUAUAUGUAUAUAUUUUAAAAUUAAAAAGGGUGCUUAUGUCAUUUUAAUAAAUCUCAGAAGAGGGGGGUGCGUGUAAUUUUUCUUAUUUUCAAUCAUAUAAUUAUAUUUGUAAGUCAAUAUUUGUACUCUUAUAAUUUCCCUAAUAGUUUUAUUUAUGUUUCUUUGACCUUUCAGGUCAAAUGUCUAUUGUUACAUUAAGCAACUAUUUUACUUCAUGUUCUUAUAGAAUAAAUGGAGAACGUAUGUAUAAUACUUCAAUAAAUAAAUAAAAUAUAUGAUUGUGUUAAUGAA